AAAGUGUUAUCUUCUCUAGGAAAGUGUGCCCAGCUGGCAGUGUAGUCUGGCCAAAGAGAAUGCUGGCCUUGCUUCCCUGAAUGUCCAGAGUGCGGCCUCACAUCCCACAGAUUACUCGAUGCGUGAAUAAGCAAACUGUGAUCCAUUUACACCAGCUGUUGAAAAACUCAACAACAUGGAUAAAUCUCAAACGCAGAGUGAAAGAAGCCAAACCCCAAAGGGCUGAAGAAGGAGAUGAAGGAAGUGAGGCUCACAACGGGGGGCAAUCCACUCGAGGUCACUUGGCUCCUGACAUGCCCCAGAUAGAAUCGUCCUCCAGAGAACGAGCAGCUGGCAUUUCUGGACAUUUGAGACGGGCAUGACUCCUUGACAAAUUUCCCUCUUGGAGGAUGACUCUGGCCCAUUUUCAAGUCUCAUUUUUCCUGGCCGACAGGUGAGGCCUGAGGAGCAGGAAGGAGGGAUUGUGGGCUGCUGGGAGGUUGAAGGGAGGCUUCCCUGCCACAUGACACAGAGUCAGGGGAACUACAAAGACCUUGCUGCUUCUGUGACCGGCAGGCCUUCCUAGUGGGAACCCUAACCCCAGACAUUCAAGUCAGUAGGAACUGCAAAUUCUCUCGAAAAGCAGGGAGGCCCUUUGGUACCUGAACUUACCCGUUCACCCCCUACUGCCCACCAGUAUUCCCAGCAAACCCAGAGCCAGAGCCCCUCUCAGCAGCCAAAACACUCCUAAGCGCCUUAAAUGAUGUGAAAGACUUCUUAUGAAUUUACCCCCCCACACAUUGGGUCUACAGAUUUUAAAGGUAUUGAUAAUAUCUCUCAGG
ensembl:lncRNA